rnacentral:rRNA from 1 species
GCCUCCCAAAAGGUAACGGAGGCGCUCAAAGGUUCUCUCAGUACGGUCGGAAAUCGUACGUAGAGUGUAAAGGCAAAAGAGAGCUUGAUUGCAAGACAUACAGGUCGAGCAAGGAUGAAAAUCGGACUUAGUGAUCCGGUGGUUCUGCGUGGAAGGGCCAUCGCUCAACGGAUAAAAGCUACCCUGGGGAUAACAGGCUUAUCUCCCCCAAGAGUCCACAUCGACGGGGAGGUUUGGCACCUCGAUGUCGGCUCAUCAC